GCCAGUGUCGCAUAACCUGGUAUUGCGCUGGCCUUGAGAGCCAGUUUCCUUUGGGAAUUCCCAGUUCAAAUCUGGGCGCUGGCG
rnacentral:tRNA from 1 species